AGUGAACGCUGGCGGCGUGCCUAAUACAUGCAAGUCGAACGGAAUUUAAAAGAGCUUGCUCUUUUAAAUUAGUGGCGCCCGGGUGAGUAAUAUAUAGCUAAUCUGCCCCUUGCUGGAGGACAACAGUUAGAAAUGACUGCUAAUACUCCAUACUCCUUUUUACCAUAAGAUAAAUCGGGAAAGAAUUUCGGCAAGGGAUGAGACUAUAUCGUAUCAGCUAGUCGGUGGGGUAACGGCCUACCGAGGCUAUGACGCGUAACUGGUCUGAGAGGAUGAUCAGUCACAUUGGAACUGAGACACGGUCCAAACUCCUACGGGAGGCAGCAGUAGGGAAUAUUGCGCAAUGGGGGAAACCCUGACGCAGCAACGCCGCGUGGAGGAUGACACUUUUCGGA
rnacentral:rRNA from 1 species